CGGCGGACGGGUGAGUAACGCGUGGGGAACCUGCCUUACACAGGGGGAUAACAGUUAGAAAUGGCUGCUAAUACCGCAUAACCCGCUGGGGUCGCAUGACUCUGACGGAAAAGAUUGUAUCGGUGUAAGAUGGACCCGCGUCUGAUUAGCUGGUUGGUGAGGUAACGGCUCACCAAGGCGACGAUCAGUAGCCGACCUGAGAGGGUGAUCGGCCACAUUGGGACUGAGACACGGCCCAAACUCCUACGGGAGGCAGCAG
rnacentral:rRNA from 1 species